GACGAACGCUGGCGGCGUGCUUAACACAUGCAAGUCGAACGGUAAGGCCCUUCGGGGUACACGAGUGGCGAACGGGUGAGUAACACGUGGGUGAUCUGCCCUGCACUUCGGGAUAAGCCUGGGAAACUGGGUCUAAUACCGGAUAGGACUCCUGGCUUCAUGGUUGGGGGUGGAAAGCUUUUGCGGUGUGGGAUGGGCCCGCGGCCUAUCAGCUUGUUGGUGGGGUAAUGGCCUACCAAGGCGACGACGGGUAGCCGGCCUGAGAGGGUGACCGGCCACACUGGGACUGAGAUACGGCCCAGACUCCUACGGGAGGCAGCAGUGGGGAAUAUUGCACAAUGGGCGCAAGCCUGAUGCAGCGACGCCGCGUGAGGGAUGACGGCCUUCGGGUUGUAAACCUCUUUCAGCACAGACGAAGCGCAAGUGACGGUAUGUGCAGAAGAAGGACCGGCCAACUACGUGCCAGCAGCCGCGGUAA
rnacentral:rRNA from 1 species